AACGAACGCUGGCGGCAUGCCUAACACAUGCAAGUCGAACGAGACCUUCGGGUCUAGUGGCGCACGGGUGCGUAACGCGUGGGAACCUGCCCUUAGGUUCGGAAUAACUCCCCGAAAGGGGUGCUAAUACCGGAUAAUGUCUUCGGACCAAAGAUUUAUCGCCUUUGGAUGGGCCCGCGUUGGAUUAGCUAGUUGGUAGGGUAAAAGCCUACCAAGGCGACGAUCCAUAGCUGGUCUGAGAGGAUGAUCAGCCACACUGGGACUGAGACACGGCCCAGACUCCUACGGGAGGCAGCAGUGGGGAAUAUUGGACAAUGGGCGAAAGCCUGAUCCAGCAACGCCGCGUGAGUGAUGAAGGCCUUAGGGUUGUAAAGCUCUUUUACCCGGGAUGAUAUUGACAGUACCGGGAGAAUAAGCUCCGGCUAACUCCGUG
rnacentral:rRNA from 1 species